UACGUAGGGUGCGAGCGUUGUCCGGAAUUAUUGGGCGUAAAGAGCUUGUAGGCGGUCUGUCGCGUCUGCUGUGAAAAUCCGGGGCUCAACCCCGGACUUGCAGUGGGUACGGGCAGACUAGAGUGUGGUAGGGGAGACUGGAAUUCCUGGUGUAGCGGUGAAAUGCGCAGAUAUCAGGAGGAACACCGAUGGCGAAGGCAGGUCUCUGGGCCGAUAUUGACGCUGAGGAGCGAAAGCGUGGGGAGCGAACAGG
rnacentral:rRNA from 1 species